rnacentral:rRNA from 1 species
CCUACGGGUGGCAGCAGUGGGGAAUAUUGCACAAUGGGGGGAACCCUGAUGCAGCGACGCCGCGUGAGUGAAGAAGUAAUUCGGUAUGUAAAGCCCUAUCAGCAGGGAAGAAAAUGACGGUACCUGACUAAGAAGCCCCGGCUAACUACGUGCCAGCAGCCGCGGUAAUACGGAGGGGGCAAGCGUUAUCCGGAUUUACUGGGUGUAAAGGGAGCGUAGACGGCAGUGCAAGUCUGGUGUGAAAGGCCGGGGCUCAACCCCCGGACUGCUCUGGAAACUGGAAGGCUGGAGUGCAGGAGAGGUAAGUGGAAUUCCUAGUGUAGCGGUGAAAUGCGUAGAUAUUAGGAGGAACACCGGUGGCGAAGGCGGCUUACUGGACUGUAACUGACGUUGAGGCUCGAAAGCGUGGGGAGCAAACAGGAUUAGAUACCCGUGUAGUC